rnacentral:rRNA from 1 species
UACGUAGGGGGCAAGCGUUGUCCGGAAUCAUUGGGCGUAAAGCGCGUGUAGGCGGCUCGAUAAGUCUGCUGUGAAAGUCCAAGGCUCAACCUUGGGAUGCCGGUGGAUACUGUCGAGCUCGAGUCCGGAAGAGGAGUGUGGAAUUCCUGGUGUAGCGGUGAAAUGCGCAGAUAUCAGGAGGAACACCAAUGGCGAAGGCAGCGCUCUGGGACGUGACUGACGCUGAGACGCGAAAGCGUGGGGAGCAAACAGG